CCUAGGGGAGGCAGCAGUGGGGAAUAUUGGACAAUGGGCGAAAGCCUGAUCCAGCCAUGCCGCGUGUGUGAAGAAGGCCUUCGGGUUGUAAAGCACUUUCAGUGGGGAAGAAAGCCUUGGGGCUAAUACCCUCGAGGAAGGACAUCACCCACAGAAGAAGCACCGGCUAACUCCGUGCCAGCAGCCGCGGUAAUACGGAGGGUGCGAGCGUUAAUCGGAAUUACUGGGCGUAAAGCGCGCGUAGGCGGUCUGAUAAGCCGGUUGUGAAAGCCCCGGGCUCAACCUGGGAACGGCAUCCGGAACUGUCAGGCUAGAGUGCAGGAGAGGAAGGUAGAAUUCCCGGUGUAGCGGUGAAAUGCGUAGAGAUCGGGAGGAAUACCAGUGGCGAAGGCGGCCUUCUGGACUGACACUGACGCUGAGGUGCGAAAGCGUGGGUAGCAAACAGGAUUAGAUACCCCUGUAGUC
rnacentral:rRNA from 1 species